rnacentral:tRNA from 3 species
GCGGAUAUGGUGGAAUUGGCAGACACGUAUGAUUCAGGUUCAUAUGCCUUAACCGGCGUGGGAGUUCGAGUCUCCCUAUCCGCA